GAGAGUAUAGCUCAACUGGUGAAGUGCAUGCUUAGCAUGCAUGAGGUCCUGAGUUCAACCCCCAGUACCACCA
rnacentral:tRNA from 1 species